UAUAAAAAUAAAUUAGAUACGAAAAAGCAGAUGCAUCGGGUUAUUUAUUAUUCCUAUAAUUAGGCAUGGCCUAAGGCUAGGCUAGGGCCUAAAAAAUAAAUGACAUACUGUACCUAAGUUAGUAAAUAUUCAUUGAUUUUACUUUUUCAGAUUAUUAACGUUCAAUUGUACUCUACCCACUACAACUGCAAGUUCCGGAAUCAACUCUAUCCAACAGCUUUUUGCAUAUGGACAACAAACACCAGGAGCAAUACCCAUUGUUGUAGGUUUUCAAGAUAAGCUGAUUUGUACUGUAGCACCAUUGACCACAUCAGCAGAUCAAGAAUCAGCAACAAAAAAGAUCAAAAGAUGGGAUGAAGAAAUGGACAAUGAUUUAGUAAAGGAGAUGCUCAAUUCAAAUAUUUUUAGCUACAAAUAAAAUUCGAAGAGCCGAGGUUUGCGAUUAAUCCAUUUGGAGCGACAACAGACUGAAAUUAAUUACCAUGAAUUCUUUUAUGUCCAUUUUACAUAAUUCUUUGCGACUGUACAGGUCUACAAACGGGUCGAACGGUCCCAUCUAUGAACCCCCCUCCCCAACAGUUGUUGAGCGGUGCGCCCUUAGUUUGAAUAACAUUACAAAAUUCUUGAAGCUUAUCUGGAGCAAGUCAUGGCUGUUGGAGAGUUUCCAAAAUAUGGUUACAAUUGUCGUAAAUAAUGAUGUCCACGAUUUUGCACGUUGCCAAAAACAGCUCUGUUAUGACCGACCGAAGUUUGGAACCAUGUCUGCAUAUCGACAUGAUAUGCAAAACGAUAAAAAAACAUAAAAAAUGCCUCGAUUCCAUCAAAUACGGAUCCAUUUUUGCAUCGCCCUUCAUGCGGAAUUCUUAAAACAUCAUUGAUAAAUGUCAUCCUUUUCAAAUCUUGAAUUAAAUAAUGUUAUU